rnacentral:rRNA from 1 species
ACGUAGGGUGCGAGCGUUGUCCGGAAUUAUUGGGCGUAAAGAGCUCGUAGGCGGCUUGUCGCGUCGGAUGUGAAAGCCCGGGGCUUAACUCCGGGUCUGCAUUCGAUACGGGCAGGCUAGAGUUCGGUAGGGGAGAUCGGAAUUCCUGGUGUAGCGGUGAAAUGCGCAGAUAUCAGGAGGAACACCGGUGGCGAAGGCGGAUCUCUGGGCCGAUACUGACGCUGAGGAGCGAAAGCGUGGGGAGUGAACAGG